GGGUUGUGAGGUUAAGCGACUAAGCGUACACGGUGGAUGCCCUGGCAGUCAGAGGCGAUGAAGGACGUGCUAAUCUGCGAUAAGCGUCGGUAAGGUGAUAUGAACCGUUAUAACCGGCGAUUUCCGAAUGGGGAAACCCAGUGUGUUUCGACACACUAUCAUUAACUGAAUCCAUAGGUUAAUGAGGCGAACCGGGGGAACUGAAACAUCUAAGUACCCCGAGGAAAAGAAAUCAACCGAGAUUCCCCCAGUAGCGGCGAGCGAACGGGGAGCAGCCCAGAGCCUGAAUCAGUGUGUGUGUUAGUGGAAGCGUCUGGAAAGGCGCGCGAUACAGGGUGACAGCCCCGUACACAAAAAUGCACAUACUGUGAGCUCGAUGAGUAGGGCGGGACACGUGGUAUCCUGUCUGAAUAUGGGGGGACCAUCCUCCAAGGCUAAAUACUCCUGACUGACCGAUAGUGAACCAGUACCGUGAGGGAAAGGCGAAAAGAACCCCGGCGAGGGGAGUGAAAAAGAACCUGAAACCGUGUACGUACAAGCAGUGGGAGCACGCUUCGGCGUGUGACUGCGUACCUUUUGUAUAAUGGGUCAGCGACUUAUAUUCUGUAGCAAGGUUAACCGAAUAGGGGAGCCGAAGGGAAACCGAGUCUUAACUGGGCGUUAAGUUGCAGGGUAUAGACCCGAAACCCGGUGAUCUAGCCAUGGGCAGGUUGAAGGUUGGGUAACACUAACUGGAGGACCGAACCGACUAAUGUUGAAAAAUUAGCGGAUGACUUGUGGCU
rnacentral:rRNA from 1 species